UACGGAGGGUGCAAGCGUUACUCGGAAUCACUGGGCGUAAAGGGCGCGUAGGCGGGUUGUCAAGUUCUGAGUGAAAUCCAACGGCUCAACCGUUGAACUGCUUGGAAAACUGGCAGCCUAGAGUGAGGGAGAGGCAGAUGGAAUUGGUGGUGUAGGGGUAAAAUCCGUAGAGAUCACCAGGAGUACCCAUUGCGAAGGCGAUCUGCUGGAACUCAACUGACGCUGAGGCGCGAAAAGCGUGGGGAGCAAACAGGAUUAGAUACCCGCGUAGU
rnacentral:rRNA from 1 species